ensembl:rRNA 5S_rRNA 5S ribosomal RNA
GUCUAUGGCCAUACCACCCUGAAUGCGCCCAAUCUCGUAAGCUAAGCGGGGUCGGGCCUGGUUAGUACUUGGAUAGGAAGAGUAUGGAAAAUGUACCUGCCCGCAGGUG